rnacentral:rRNA from 1 species
CCUACGGGUGACUGCAGUGAGGAAUAUUGGUCAAUGGACGAGAGUCUGAACCAGCCAAGUAGCGUGAAGGAUGACUGCCCUCUGGGUUGUAAACUUCUUUUAUAUGGGAAUAAAAUGUUCCACGUGUGGGAUUUCGUAUGUACCAUAUGAAUAAGGAUCGGCUAACUCCGUGCCAGCAGCCGCGGUAAUACGGAGGAUACGAGCGUUAUCCGGAUUUACUGGGUGUAAAGGGAGCGUAGGUGGAUUGUUAAGUCAGUUGUGAAAGUUUGCGGCUCAACCGUAAAAUUGCAGUUGAAACUGGCAGUCUUGAGUACAGUAGAGGUGGGCGGAAUUCGUGGUGUAGCGGUGAAAUGCUUAGAUAUCACGAAGAACUCCGAUUGCGAAGGCAGCUCACUGGACUGCAACUGACACUGAGGCUCGAAAGUGUGGGUAUCAAACAGGAUUAGAUACCCUUGUAGUC